CUUCUUACUAAUUUUUGUUACUUUCUAUGACAGGUGUUUGGAGACCUCUGGGAUAAAGCAUUUCUCACUGCUGCCUCUGCUCCUCUACAUGGGAAGAAACAUAGGUAAAGAAAUGUGACUGUGUAAGACUCCUAGCAUCUAUAAUCGUUGGUCGGUUUGGAAAUACAUAUUGCUCUUGCAUAUAAUAUUGUUGUCGGAAGGAAAGAAAGCAAGCUGUCUUACAAUUGAGCACAAUUUGUCAGCAAAAACAGAGUGUGGCCAGACUGCUGCUUGUUAGAAGCUGCACCAAGAUAACAUGCCAUGUCACAGCAUGCUGCGAAUGUUGGAACACGUGGCCAAGCACAGGGUUGCCACAUUGCCUCACCCUCCUUAGUCCAGGUCUUCUUCCUCUCCAAUGGAACCUCAGUGGAUACCAAUUCGGCUCUGUAGAAGGUGUCCAAAAUGCUGUGACAGUGUCCCUAAAGAGGAUCAUGGAAAGCAAGUUCCAGAAGGCAUACGUGCAGUGGGAAUCGCGUCACACGCUUUGUCGAAGUACAAGGGUGCUACUUCGAGGAAUUCUAAGGAUUAGUACCAGGUAAUUCAGUAAAAAAAAAAUUAAAUUAAUUCAGUUCUGCUUCUUACUGAUUAAACCCUGUAUUUAUUUUGUAAAAGAAAUAAACCGAUGGAAAAACUUGCAACCUGUUCCAA
rnacentral:lncRNA from 1 species